rnacentral:rRNA from 1 species
UACAGAGGGGGCAAGCGUUGUUCGGAAUUACUGGGCGUAAAGAGCGCGUAGGCGGCCUGUUAAGUCAGACGUGAAAUCCCUCGGCUCAACCGGGGAACUGCGUCUGAUACUGGCGGGCUUGAAUUCGGGAGAGGGAUGUGGAAUUCCAGGUGUAGCGGUGAAAUGCGUAGAUAUCUGGAGGAACACCGGUGGCGAAGGCGGCAUCCUGGACCGACAUUGACGCUGAGGCGCGAAAGCCAGGGGAGCAAACGGG